rnacentral:lncRNA from 1 species
GUCAUUGCGGCUAAAUAGCAGGUUUGUGUGGAUCUCGCGUGAGGAAGAGACACGGUUGUGUGUUGUUGUUCGUCGGAAAGCUUCGCCUCCGGUUCGUGCUACGGUGGUGCAUUUUCCGGUUGUCGUUAGUGUGAGAGAGAGAAGGUUAACGUGAAGCUUGGUUGUGUUUGAUGAUGUUGGAGGUGGGGUGGUUUUGAUGUUGUGAUAAUUAAAAUGGUGUUAUGAAGUUGUAGUUAAAGUUCUGAUAUUGAUGUAAAGAAGUUUGAAGAGGUGUUUAUGUGAGGUUGUUUUCAUGGUGUAGAAUGGUGGUUGAGAUAAAGGAAGAAAAAAAGAUAUUUUUUUUCUUCUGAAAACAAAGAGAGAUAGUGUGUAUCAUGUAUGUUGUAGUAGAAGAAAAAAUAAAAAAUGAUGAUAGUUGAAGUGAGAGGAUGAAGUAUUGAUAAAGAAGGUUUUGUGUGGUUUGAUAAAAAGCUGAAGAUAUUUUUCAAGUGAUGUGGUUUCUCUCUCCUCUUAUGCGUC